AUACGUAGGGGACGAGCCUUGUCCGGAAUUACUGGGCGUAAAGGGCGCGCAGGCGGUAUAUCAAGUCAGCUGUCCAAGCCUGGGGUUCAACCAUAGUUAGCACUUGAAACUGUAUGACUCGAGUCCAGGAGAGGCAAGCGGCAUUGCUAGUGUAGGGGGGAAAUGCGUAGAUAUUAGGAGGAACACCAGUGGCAAACGCGGCUUACUUGACUGUAACUGACGCUGAGUCACGAAAGCGUGGGUAACAAACAGGAUUAGAUACCCUGGUAGUCCACGCUGUAAACGAUGAGUGCUAGGUGUUGGGUAGCGAUACUCAUUGCCGUAGUAAACACAAUAAGCGCUCCGCCUGGGGAGUACGUACGCAAGUAGGAAACUCAAAUGAAUCGACGGGG
rnacentral:rRNA from 1 species